AGUAGUGUAUGCUUCUCCUAAAGACUAAGCCAUGCAUGCCUUCGAAUAAGAGGUAGCAAUUCUCUCUGAAUCUGCGAACGGCUCCGCACACCAGUUGUAAACUAUAGCAAGCAUGCUCCGGGCUCUCUUCACGGGGGGUUCGGGGUAAUACGGGUAACCCUGGUAAUUCUGAGGCUAAUACGAGACUGUACCUCCCGGCUAGCUGGCAACGGCAGGCUGGGGGACGUGCAAGCUUGUUCGGAUUUUAUCGGGAAAGAAUGCACGCCUUGACCGCGCUAAAGACAGAUGAGGCUGGCUUCGGCCGGCUUUGCCUGAGCGGCUCUUGCUGUGUGCUUCUGACCUAUCAACUAGACGGCAGCGUAAGGGACAUGCUAUGGUUACAACGGGUACAGAGGAUUAGGGUUCGAUCCUGGAGAGUGGGCCUGAGAGAUUGCUCAUACUUCUAAGGAAGGCAGCAGGCGCGCAACGUUCCCCUUGGGCAAUGCUCGAGGGCGUUAGGGGACAUAUGAAUGUCUGCCUUUUAGGUGGACAAUUCAAAUGGGUCUG
rnacentral:rRNA from 1 species